GGUUUUUAGUGGUAAGGCAGGUGGUGUUAUUAUUGCGGAAGCGGGUGAUGGUGGUUCGGUAGCGGAAGUUGGUGGUGGUGAUGCGGCAGCGGGUGACGGUUGCGGUGUAGAAAAAAUGGGUGAAGUUGCCCAUCUCCGGGACUCGUUUUUGAGAAGAUCGAUCAUCUCAGCAAUCGUUGAUAUGAUUCGAUCCAACGACUCGUUCCAUUCGUGAGCGUCCAUGAGGGGAUCAAGACCGCUCUGAUACCAAUUGUUACGAACCAAAUCGUUAACCAAUUGAUCCAAAGAAAAAAAGGUAGAAGCUUGAGAGAAUUAAUAGACUUUUGGAAGAGAUUCAACUUAUCAUUUUCAUUCAUAAUCUAAAAAUGAAAUACAAACUCAAAUAUAUAAUGCAAAUGAUGCAUACGUAACUUACCCACUACUAAGAGAGUGACCCAUGAUUCCUAAAAAUAUGCACUAACAACCCUACUCUUGACUCUAGAACUCCACUAACUAACAAGGAAUUAUUCAAAGACAAUAAAAUAAAAUAAGAAAUAAAAGACAAUUAAAAAACCAUAUCCACUUGAGCAUGCACUCUAGCUCCACACAUAAUAACAACGUCCGAAUGUAUUCAUCAUUGUGAAGGGCAGAUAUCAUACUGACCGAUCAGUGGACCUACUUUAAAUAAUAGGGUAUCGGUUCUCAGUGUCUCGGUCCUCUCGGUUCCUACCCCCUACCCGAACCCGAUUUUCAUUUCAACUAUUCAAGUGCAAUUGAUAAAUGGAAGAUGUAAUUUCAGUUACACACGUAUGAAGAUUCAUCUCACAGUGGAUUAUAUCACAAUUGCAAUCACUAUUUCAGAUUCCAAAAUUGGUGGAUUAAAUCACAAAUUUGAAGUAUAACAUCAUGUACCUUGCCAACAACAAGCGUGGAGCAACCGUCAAUUGAAGAACGAAGAACAAAACAAAAAAUGAAUGUAGAUUGCAAGAGAGUGAAGAAUUAGUAUGAUGACUGAUGAUGAUCUGUGUGUACGUACGUAAAUUAGGUAUAGUAUUGAAUUUAGUAUAAAAGUGAAAAGUCAGUCCAAUAAAAUAACAGGCCAAAGCCCAUUCGAUUUGGUUU
rnacentral:lncRNA from 1 species